GGAAUAGCUCAGUCGGUAGAGCAUUGGUCUCCAAAACCAAGGGUCGGGAGUUCGAGCCUCUCUUCC
rnacentral:tRNA from 1 species